AUUGAACGCUGGCGGCAGGCCUAACACAUGCAAGUCGAACGAGUGGCGGACGGGUGAGUAAUGUCUGGGAACCUGCCCGCUGGAGGGGGAUAACUACUGGAAACGGUAGCUAAUACCGCAUACCAUCGGAUGUGCCCAGAUGGGAUUAGCUAGUAGUUGGGGUAACGGCUCACCGAGGCGACGAUCCCUAGCUGGUCGGAGAGGAUGACCAGCCACACUGGAACUGAGACACGGUCCAGACUCCUACGGGAGGAAGCAGUGGGGAAUAUUGCACAAUGGGCGAAAGCCGGAUGCAGCCAGGCCGCGUGUAUGAAGAAGGCCUUCGGGUUGUAAAGUACUUUCAGCGAGGAGGCGUUACUCGCAGAAGAAGCACCGGCUAACUCCGUGCCAGCAGCCGCGGUAAUUC
rnacentral:rRNA from 1 species